AUGCCGCCGCCACCGCCGCCGCCGACCUCGCUCUCGCCAUCCUACCCCACGCCUGCAACCGCAUCAUCCCCAACCCCGCGCCAGAUCGCCGCCCUCGUGCUUAACUACCCGUCGUCCAACCUCACCACCGCAUCGGCCCGCUCCCUCUCGGCGUCCCUCCUCGCCGUCGCCCCGGCCCUCCCGACGCCCGUGGCCAACCGCGUCCUCAAGCUCCUCUGGCACCACGCGCCGCGCGCGCUCCUCUUCUUCCACUCGCUCCUCCACCUCCCCGCCCGCGCGCACGCCGUCUCCCCCUGCACCAUCGACCUCGCACUCGACCUCUCCGCGCGCCUCCGCCACCCCCGCCAGCUCACCAACUCCAUCCUCGCGCUCUUCCCGCGCCUCCGCCUGCCCUUCACCCCGCGCACUUUCCCCAUCCUCUUCGAGCGCUUCGCGGCGUCGCAGCGCCGGCCCGACAUCGCCGUCCGCCUCUUCCUCUCGCUCCACCGCUCCCACCGCGUCGUGCAGGAUCUCCCCCUCUUCAACUCCCUCCUCGACGCGCUCGGGAAGUCGCGCCAUGCCAGCAAGGCCGCCUCCCUCGUCCGCGCUCUCGAGCGGCGCUUCCCCCCGGACGUUGUCACGUACAACACCCUCGCUGACGGAUGGUGCCGCGUCAAGGACACGUCCCGCGCGCUCGACUUGCUGCGGCAGAUGGCCGAGUCCGGCAUCACGCCCACGAAGACAACCUAUAAUAUCAUCCUCAAAGGCUUCUUCCGUGCUGGGCAGAUACAGCACGCAUGGAACUUCUUCCUCCAAAUGAAGAAGAGGGGGGCCAAGGACGAGAGCUGUAAGCCGGACAUCAUAUCGUACACUACCAUCAUUCAUGGGCUGGGUGUUGCUGGGCAGCUAGACAAAGCUCGCAAACUGUUCGAUGAAAUGUCUAAAGAAGGUUGCACGCCGUCAGUGGCAACUUACAAUGCGCUUAUCCAGGUGAUAUGUAAGAAGGGAAAUGUGGAGGAUGCAGUCACAGUGUUUGAUGAUAUGGUUCGACAGGAUUACGUCCCAAAUGUGGUCACCUAUACCGUCUUGAUUCGAGGUCUCUGCCAUGCUGGGAAAAUUGACCGGGCUAUGAAGCUCAUGGAGAGAAUGAAAGAUGAAGGCUGUGAGCCAGUCGUUCAGACAUACAAUGUUCUAAUAAGAUAUUCAUUUGAGGAAGGGGAGAUCGAGAAGGCCUUGUGUUUGUUUGAGAGGAUGAGUAAAGGAGAGGACUGCCUGCCUAACCAAGAUACAUACAAUAUCAUAAUAAGUGCAAUGUUUGUGCGCAAGAGGGCUGAGGACAUGGCAACGGCGGCGAGGAUGGUAAUGGAGAUGGUGGAGAGAGGCUACUUACCUAGAAGGUUCAUGCUCAACCGUGUUCUGAAUGGGUUGAUGUUGACAGGGAAUCAGCAAAUUUCUAGAGAUCUGUUGAGAAUGCAAGAGAAAUAUAGACGCCUGCGACGAGAAAUAAGAUUGUGA
rnacentral:rRNA from 1 species